GCGUGAGUGAUGAAGGCCUUAGGGUUGUAAAGCUCUUUUACCCGGGAUGAUAAUGACAGUACCGGGAGAAUAAGCUCCGGCUAACUCCGUGCCAGCAGCCGCGGUAAUACGGAGGGAGCUAGCGUUGUUCGGAAUUACUGGGCGUAAAGCGCACGUAGGCGGCGAUUCAAGUCAGAGGUGAAAGCCCGGGGCUCAACCCCGGAACUGCCUUUGAAACUAGAUUGCUAGAAUCCUGGAGAGGCGAGUGGAAUUCCGAGUGUAGAGGUGAAAUUCGU
rnacentral:rRNA from 1 species